UGGGGAAUUGUUCGCAAUGGGCGCAAGCCUGACGACGCAACGCCGCGUGGAGGAUGAAGGUCUUCGGAUUGUAAACUCCUGUUGCCCGGGACGAAUGGCUCCGACCUAACACGUCGGAUGGUGACGGUACCGGGUGAGGACGCCCCGGCUAACUCUGUGCCAGCAGCCGCGGUAAUACAGAGGGGGCAAGCGUUGUUCGGAAUUGCUGGGCGUAAAGGGCGCGUAGGCGGCCUGUUAAGUCGAACGUGAAAUCCCCGGGCUCAACCCGGGAACUGCGUCCGAUACUGGCAGGCUUGAAUCCGGGAGAGGGAUGCGGAAUUCCAGGUGUAGCGGUGAAAUGCGUAGAUAUCUGGAGGAACACCGGUGGCGAAGGCGGCAUCCUGGACCGGUAUUGACGCUGAUGCGCGAAAGCCAGGGGAGCAAAC
rnacentral:rRNA from 1 species